AACGCGAAGAACCUUACCUGGACUUGACAUGGUGCUGCAAGCGCACGGAAACGUGUGACCUUCGAGGGUGCACCACAGAUGCUGCAUGGCUGUCGUCAGCUCGUGUCGUGAGAUGUUGGGUUAAGUCCCGCAACGAGCGCAACCCUUGUUCUCUGUUGCCAUCAGGUCAAGCUGGGCACUCUGAGAAGACUGCCGGUGAUAAACCGGAGGAAGGUGGGGAUGACGUCAAGUCAGCAUGGCCUUUAUGUCUGGGGCUACACACGUGCUACAAUGGCCGGUACAAAGCGUCGCAAGACCGUAAGGUGGAGCUAAUCGCAGAAAGCCGGUCUCAGUUCGGAUUGUCGGCUGCAACUCGCCGGCAUGAAGUUGGAAUCGCUAGUAGUCGCGGAUCAGCAUGCCGCGGUGAACACGUUCCCGGGCCUUGUACACACCG
rnacentral:rRNA from 1 species